CCACAAAGGAAUUCAAAUCUUGGUGCUUCAUUUAGAAUAACAACUUCUCUGUCAGUCCAUCUGAAAGUGCUUAACAACAAUAUCAAAAAUGAAGGUUUAGCAUACUAAUGCCUUGGUUUAAAUCUGUUGAAAACUAUUGGAAACUGACAUGCUUGAUACUCAGAAGGAACCUGUGCCCAUAACUUUCCUUGUUCUCAAAAGCAAUUUAUUCCCCAUUAGAAUUUAUUAAUUUUGGUGGGAUUUAAGGCAUGAAGGAACUCAUUGACAAAAGUAAGGAUGACUGACCCUAGACUUGAAAUGGCACCAUACAUUCCUGUUCAAAUGUUAUUCACAUCAAGGAGGAGGAAUCCCUUUCAUUUUUGUUCCAAAUAUUAAAAAUACUCUUUUUACACAUAGGAUUCUCUUGUAUGUGUUUCCUUUUCUAAUACCUUUUUCCGAUUUUGCCAUGUUGCAGCUCUCUUCUGCUUUUGCUGGAGGACUCUGAGCAAGAACUGGUACAAUUACUUUGCCAGAAAAGGGAGUUUUCCUCAUUUAGAAACUUAACCAGGUGCCAAAUUUGCAAAUUUAUUUUCCAUCAUGUUACAUGCAAGCCACUAAAUAAGGUUUGUAAGAUGGAGACUGAGAAUAAAGGAAAGAUUUUCUAGGCUGAUCAAUUAUUUUUACUAGUUCUUAUUAAUAUUGUAAUUCCAAGUUACUUUUGUAAGAGAAAUAUUAUCUUACUAAAGAUUAUUUUUUCUUAGAUUGAAGCCUGAAUCAGUUUUAGUAGACACAGCUUGAGUAUCUUCAACUUUUCAUAAGGAACAAACACCUGAAUUGCUUAAAAUGAGCAGAUAUUGAACAAGUAGCAUCUUUAUGAUUAUUGUUUCCUCCUCUCAGGCCUUAUCACCCUUGACAUGCACAUGAAAGAGGUUGCAGCCAGCAGGGAGUUGGUCUCUUCUCCAAGAUAACGAAUAUUUCCCUCAGCACAAAUGGCAAGUUUCUACAAAACAGUUCUGCCCCAUAUAUUUGUUGAAGACAAAGAGAAAACACAGGAGGAUUUUUUUUUUUCCAAUUUUUGCAGCAGCUCUCCAGAAAAGAAAAUGUAUCAUGAAAGCAGCAUCACAAUAUUUCCUCAUGAACUAAACAGUGCUCACUUGGUUAAUAAAAAAUCUAAACCUGUAUGUUACAGCACCAUCUGGUGACUUGUGCCCUAAAAAUGUCCCUUUUUAUUACAGCACUCCAGAAUACAGACAGCAGCCAAUUAAUUAUGUGGGGGAAAAAAAUGUGUGGUGUUUUUCAUUCUUUCAUCCUUACUGCUCAGCUAAUGAUAGAGAAUAUGGACCACAUUGAUUCCUUUUUGGUUUAGAAAGCUGUAGCUACUUAGUUCAAAAUCUGCUUUCUCUUACACAGGCUGAGAUAGAUUAUACCCAAAAAUUUAACCUUCAAACAUGGCAUGAUUUUGGGACAAAGAUGCAAGGAGUCUCCCAGAUGAACAAAAUCUAGAAUCAGUCACUGAAAGGUAUUUUUAACUCAGAGAGAUAACUUCGAGCUUGGCUGUUAAAAGGCUUUGUUUGUGUAACACCCCAGAAAUCUUGCUGGUAAUAAGAAAUGGUCUCCAGUGGACCAAAGAGACUCAAUUAGUUCUCCUAAUCAUAUGUCCUAGGUCUAAUUGAUGUACAUACUUCUGUCUUGAUCCACUCAAUAAAACAAGCUAUCCAUGUAACUCAAUAAAACGAGCUGUAUAAGUAAUUAACAUCAUGGUUCUGUGACACAAAUCAUCACAUCUGAGAAAAUAUAUCAGUUCAUCCUAA